AAUUUUCCUACCAUGUCGCUCGGGACCCAUUUCUCCAUGCGUUGUUAUCUUUAGGAAUUUGACAGAAAACCACAGCCUGCUAGAAAUGCCACUGAUGGUACCAGGUAUGUGACUGGUAGUGGGCUUGCUGACGGAGAACAGAUGGAGGGGUUAUGGUCCUACCUUUGAAAAUGUGGGAAGAUCACAAAAGAGAUGACACCGUCUCAUCGUAUUGACACCCUCACUGAUGCCCUCCUAAAACAAUAUAUGAAAUGUAUCUUCACCUUCAUAUGUUAUAGCACCGGCAAUAGAACUCUGUCGGUGGAAGGUCRUGAAGGAGGAAACCAAGGCAAAAGAGGAGUUGAUGGUGCUGCUAAACAGCAUUCCAGAUUUAAUUAGGCUCCUGUCGUAGGCAGCACAUAAUCGGACAUGGAAGUUUGGACCCGUCAGAUAAAGAAGACCCUCAUAAACAAGAAGACGUUGUCCCUUACCCGACAGGAGAGAGAUGUGGAAACUCUGGCAGAGUAACAGCGAGUCGCGUUAUUAGUUGCUACAUCUCUGACCUUAGGUUUUACCCCAUCUCUAAACAGCCCUUUCUGUUUGGCUUAGCCCUACCAGUCAUGACUGACACGUUCCUAUAACCUACUGUGUCCUGUAUCCUGGUCCCACCAUUUCCUGGAUCUGCUUAGCUACUCCCUGUUACUUUAUACUCUUAUCACCACCUCCUGCCCUCACUUGUUCUUUUCCACUACAUAUCCCAGAGACUGAGUGCCCCUCUCCCCUGCUUAAUCUAUUUUACAUGAAGUCUUCUAACCUGUGUGCCAACACUUCAUGCUGCAUAAUCCACUCUACACUCAAAUCUACACUCAAAUGGAUUUUGCCUUCAUAACUGGUUAGUUUUAUGUGGAGAUGCUUUCAUACUGUUAUAUAUUUGCUCAUAUAUUUGUAUAAUAUUUUCUAGAUCUGAGGUGAUGUCCCRGUCAGUCACUGAUGAUAGGAACACUCAGUUGACUACUCGGCUUGAAAACCUGGAGAAAAGGUUGAAGGGCAUGGAGAAGAGAAACUGGAUUGUACGCUGGUCUCUUCAACACUGUGCAGCAAUUUUGGAAAGUCUGCAGACUAAGAAGACUCACUGUCCCGGAGCGCUCUUUCUAUUGUGGCCUGGUCAGAAAGUAUGCAGGUACUGCAGCCAAUUCAGUGUCGUCACACCCUGAGAUAUCACUGCUGUUGCUAUCUAAGUCUCAUUCACCCAGGUGUUUUGAACUAUAUGAAAGAUUUCUAUCAAACUUCAAGAUUUUCAUUUUAAAAUUUAAAAAAGAAGGAUGGACAAACCAUUGCUGUGUGGCUCUCCAGAAAAAUCAAGCAGACAUCGGAGAGAGAAAAAACAGCAGAUCACCGCCUACAAUGGAAGAAACAAGUCACCUCAAUUCCCUCCAAGACUGGAGUAUGUGGAUGUUCUCUAGCAAGACCAUCCAGUCUGGUCCCAGGUGUACAACAGCUGGGGUGGCAGUCUGCUCUGGGCAAAGCAGGGUGCAGUAAUUCUGCAUAACAUGUGCCGUAGGACAGCAGAGGAGAGGCACCUUUAUACAGGCAGACCUACAUAAUAGCCUUUUGUAUUGCCAGAGAGAGCUGGGGCUUUUGGAAGAGGUCCUUGUUUCUCUUGGGCAGUGUGAGGCCGAGCCAAKAUGCUUUCACCUGGGUGCCUCUGUGCUGUUAUAAUAAAAUGCAGAACAUAUUAAAGCUCCAGCAAGCAUUUUCAAUGUUGGCUGGUGAUGGCUCAGUCAGCACAGAUGUAGAGAAGGACAGUAAAUCGGAGGACAGUAAUUCAGAAGAUGAAAGUGGUUGAGGUGUGUGUGGAUUCACCUGGUCAGUCUAUUGUAUGUCAUGGAAAGAGUGGACACAAAAAUAUUGCUCCACCAACGCAGCUUUUUAUCUUGUAGAAGUUUGAAAAAGGUGCUCUUAUAUCCUAUAAAUUAUCUGCAUUGUGUCACAACCAGAGGGGCAGUGAGGGGUGUUUUGAAUCUAGCUUUUACCGGGCAAUAUGAAACUAGAGGCAAAACACAAAUAGGUACUGGAAAAAGUUUAAACAGAAGAAUCACCAUUAUUAUCACAACAGCAGAGGAUGGAUUGAUAGGAAUYACUCAUGUCCCCGGUUUGUUCUACAGUGUGAGGUUAGGAACCUUCGACCUGACAGCAGCAGUUGGUAUUGGUCAUAUAGUGUGGGUGUCUUAGUAAAAUUGUCUGGAUGGUUCUUGAUUUGUAGAUUGAUGGGAUGCUUUCAGACUUGACGCUGCCAAGCCAUACCACCCAAGGAAGCAGAAGGUUAGGAUGUUUUCAAUUAAUGUCUUAUUUAAAAGGUGAAAUAUCAGUAAAGCCAUAGGAAGUUUCUUAAGUAAUCCUAAACCAAAUGUUUUGCCAAAACACAGGAGAUAUUACAAAAAGACAAAAACAUUUCUUAAGUUCACAGAAUACAAAACAGAACAUGAAUGACCUUCACACCCUGAUCUGUUUCACCUGUCUUCACCCCCCUCCAGGUGUCACCCAUCUUCCCCGUUAUCCCCUGUGUA